rnacentral:misc_RNA from 1 species
GUACCUUCAAGCUCUGCUUGGUGUUGGGUGUUUGUCCUUUCCCUGCGAUUGGACUCGCCUUAAAGUCAUUGGCAGCCAGUGUUUUGGUUUUGAAGCGCAGCACAAGUCGCGAUUCAAGCCGGUAGCACCAGCUUCCAUCAAGCCUUUUUAUCAC